UCUCUUUCUUUCUUUCUUUUUUUCGUUUUUUCUUUUGCUUAUUUUCUUUCCACUUCUUUCUUCUUCUUCAGCAGUCCCUUUUUACUUUAUUCUUCAUUUUUUAUUUUCCAUUCAAGUGUCAAUUUUCUAAUAAAAUCCAAAAUCAUCUCGUAAAUCUGCAGAAUCCCUUUUCGUCCAAAAAUCACGCUAAACAUUUUAAAAUUUGUGCAUUAUCGCAGAAAUUUAUCCUUACAAAACACAAUCUGUUUAAAUUUUUAUAUAAAAUUCCCACUGAAGAAUUAAAGAAAAUGAAACCAAAAACUUAAACAGAUUCAAACAAAAACAUUAUCAGCAUUUUAACUCAAAUGCCAAAACCUUACAACGUAAAUCGACCACAUACCAUUCCGAAGUUGGAGGCGUUCCAUAUUCCAAAGCUAUGAGGAACUCUUGUUAAAAGUUAAUUCAUUUGAAUCAUCAAUAUCUUUGUUCCCCUUGUUUCUCUGCAAUCUGCAUAAGCUUUUUUCAAAUUUGAUGCUGCUUUCCGAUGGAUCAGUAUAUCUAAAGAUGUGAAUAAACAAAUAAUAUGAAUUGCAAAUAAACAAAUAAUAUGAAAUAAACUCAAGCCGACUAAAUUCCUGUAUUAUAUAAGAAAGAAUCAAUACCCUGCAUGUGAUAAAUUUCAAUGAGUGAAUAAGUCGUUGUAGUGCCAUCCAUGUUAUAAAGAAUGAGAAGUUUUACUAACGAAGAAUCAACUAUUGUUCCUACAGACCUUGUGUUCAUGAUUGAUGAGAAACCACAUAGUUUCAAAUGCUCUCCAAUUAGAGACAUUAAACCUGUCUGGAAAAGGGAACGAAGAUUACAUUCUCAGGAAAAGGAAACAAAGAGCCAAAUGUUUUUUCUACAGAUAUUGUGGUUAGUUAGAAAAUCUCGCUUGUUGAAGCUUUAACAGGCUACAAUGUCCAUCUAACGACACUUGAUGGAAGAAAACUGACUACUCC
rnacentral:lncRNA from 1 species